CCUACGGUGGCUGCAGUGAGGAAUAUUGGUCAAUGGGCGUAAGCCUGAACCAGCCAAGUCGCGUGAGGGAUGAAGGUUCUAUGGAUCGUAAACCUCUUUUAUUAGGGAAUAAAGUGCGGGACGUUUCCCGCUUUGUAUGUACCUUCUGAAUACGGAUCGGCUAAAUCCGUGCCAGCAGCCGCGGUAAUACGGAGGAUCCGAGCGUUAUCCGGAUUUAUUGGGUUUAAAGGGUGCGUAGGCGGCCUUUUAAGGCAGCGGUGAAAGUCUGUGGCUCAACCAUAGAAUUGCCGUUGAAACUGGGAGGCUGGAGUGUGUGUGAGGUAGGCGGAAUGCGUGGUGUAGCGGUGAAAUGCUUAGAUAGCACGCAGAACCCCGAUUGCGAAGGCAGCCUGCCAAGCCAUGACUGACGCUGAUGCACGAAAGCGUGGGGAUCAAACAGGAUUAGAUACCCUGGUAGUC
rnacentral:rRNA from 1 species